rnacentral:rRNA from 1 species
UACGUAGGGGGCAAGCGUUGUCCGGAAUUAUUGGGCGUAAAGAGCGUGUAGGCGGCCAGAUAAGUCCGCUGUGAAAUCUCGAGGCUCAACUUCGAGCUGUCGGUGGAAACUAUCUGGCUAGAGUCCGGAAGAGGAGAAUGGAAUUCCUGGUGUAGCGGUGAAAUGUGCAGAUAUCAGGAAGAACACCCGUGGCGAAGGCGGUUCUCUGGGACGGUACUGACGCCGAGACGCGAAAGCGUGGGGAGCGAACAGG